rnacentral:lncRNA from 1 species
UUGGUAACAGGAGUAGGCCAAAAUUUGACAGAACCUGGAUAAUUUUGUAGUGUCAUCUCUCUAACCAUUAUCUUUUAUUUUUUGUUAUUUACUUUCCCUCCUUUACUUUCUGCUACUUUUUAUCAUGAUCUUAAAAAUACUAACACAAUUUUCCUCUUAAAUAACAAAAAACUUGAAAUUAAUCAGGAAUCUUGAAUAUCACAAUUCACCCCCUCC